rnacentral:lncRNA from 1 species
AAACCAGGAUUAGCAGUGUAUGCCUGUAAUUCCAGCACUUGGGAGGUAGAGGCGAGAGGGUCAGGAAUUUGAGGGUAGGUUGAGAUAUAAGAGACUGUCUAAAAACUAAGUAAAUACAAAGAAAAUUAAAAUUGCCCUCCCGAACAGGUACACCCCGAUAAUUCCUGUAUCCUUUCAGAAAUACUAUAUGCAGAUACAAUAUCCAGUUGAAAUGAUAAUACUGUUAUAUCUUACUCAGCAAGUUGGUUUCAUUUUUUAAAUACUUUGAGGUUAUGGGAUAUAUCCAAUGUACAGAGUGUACUGGAGCCUGUAUGCGGCGGCCACAUAGAGUUAACCAGUGUUGCCGUUUUGUGCUGACAUCUUGCUCUGGGCCGGUGGGCCUUGGAGUCCAGUUACUCCCGGCCAUCCUAGUAGGCAGGAGCGCUUUAGGUCAUUCUGGUGUUGUGCAGACACCGAGGCCCACUGUGUUUGCUUGGGAGGCUCAGCUUCUGCCUGGAUCGGCCUCUCGGUUCUCUGUGGCUCGCUCUCUCGCUCGCUCGCCCCGGCUGUUCAUUGGGUGUGUGAAGACAAGGUCUUGGUAGCCGCGGCUGGCCUGGAGGCGGCCCUGGUGCCUUACUUCCUCGACUCCCAGGUGUCGGAAGCGUUGGGAAACCAAAGCGCAGAAACUUCCUGGGCUUGGCGGAGCCAGCUCUUCCCACAGCCCCCCCCCCCGCCGGGCGCGCUGGGGGCGGGGCGGAGAAAUGUUUCUGUGACGUCAGCAUGCGCAGGGCCAAUCCCCCUGCCCCGGAGACGUUAGGUCGUUUGCAUGGGUCGCCAGUCAUUGGCCUGUGGGGCCGUCUGGGCUGUCGCAGCUUUUUAAAGGCGCCGCGUAACGGAACCGAGAGCAGGAGAGACCGGGGCGCGGCGGGCGGGCUAUGAGGUCAUCGCCGGCCUGCGGGGUUUGAACGGGGUAGUGACGUCACCUCCGGGAAGCGUGCCGGCCGGGCCGAGGGCGGUCCUCUCAUCUCGGCUACGCGUCCGUCAAGGCCGCGGCCCCAGAAGGUAACCGUGACGCGUCCGUGCGCGCCGAGGCCCCGCACUCGGGCCGCCCGGUCCCCCGCCGCGGCCCGGCUGAGGGGGCUCUGAAGUAGGAGGUGGGGGCGAGCAGCCUUUUUUAACCUGGCUUUCAAGAUGGCGGCCCG